rnacentral:lncRNA from 1 species
CCCAACAUCUGCCUUUACCGUGUUCAAAGCUGCUCUAAAUUUAGCUAGAUCAGCCCCUGAUAUUUCUUUUGCCCGUGUAUCAAAUCAGUUCUCCAAAUCUGUAACUCAUCCAGGAAAAGUCACAAAAGGCUCAAGAGCAGCCUUGAUUCUCUUGUCUAAUGCAGCGGCAAAAUAUUUGGCAAAGGUAUGUAGUUAUGCCUCAUACUAUUUGGCUUGUUUGGCCAUUUUUUUUAUAUCAAUCGGAUGA